rnacentral:lncRNA from 1 species
GCCGAUGCAGCCAUGGCUUGCGUGCUUCGCUGCUUUGCCGGUUCCCUUCCGGCAGCUGCCGGCCGGCCGCCGAGAGAACACGCAGCGCUGCACGCCUGGCCGCCUGCUCCGCCGGGCCUCCGACGAGGCGGCGACGGCGGCUGCUCCCACGUCAUCGAGGAGCAUGACCUGGCAGCUAGGCACAGGACAGGAGUAGAGUGGAGUGGGGCGCCCUGCGAUUACGCGGGUUCGGUAGGGUCAGAUCUGGC